UACGUAGGGUGCGAGCGUUGUCCGGAAUUACUGGGCGUAAAGAGUUCGUAGGCGGUUUGUCGCGUCGUUCGUGAAAACUUGGGGCUUAACUCCAAGCGUGCGGGCGAUACGGGCAGACUUGAGUACUACAGGGGAGACGUGGAAUUCCUGGUGUAGCGGUGAAAUGCGCAGAUAUCAGGAGGAACACCGGUGGCGAAGGCGGGUCUCUGGGCCUGUACUGACGCUGAGGAGCGAAAGCGUGGGGAGCGAACAGG
rnacentral:rRNA from 1 species